rfam:TPA: Bos taurus chromosome 4, whole genome shotgun sequence.
UCCCUGCUGGUCCAGUGGUUAAGACUCUGAGCUUCCACUGCAAGAGGCACGGGUUCCAUCCCUGUUCAGGGAA